UACGAAGGGGGCUAGCGUUGUUCGGAUUACUGGGCGUAAAGCGCACGUAGGCGGAUCGUUAAGUCGGGGGUGAAAUCCUGGAGCUCAACUCCAGAACUGCCUUCGAUACUGGCGAUCUUGAGUCCGGAAGAGGUGAGUGGAACUCCUAGUGUAGAGGUGGAAUUCGUAGAUAUUAGGAAGAACACCAGUGGCGAAGGCGGCUCACUGGUCCGGUACUGACGCUGAGGUGCGAAAGCGUGGGGAGCAAACAGG
rnacentral:rRNA from 1 species